CGUGUCGUCUUCUAGUGGUGCCGAAACUUGAUUUAACACGUGUUGAGUCUUGGGUGGUGCCGACGGUUUUGAGAGGGUUUCUGGCAGAAUGCAAAAGUCUUCAUGUGGGUCCCACUUUUGUCGGACGGGUUUCUUCUUGGAAAUACUUCCCGAUUCUUCUUAUACAGAUAUACUCUGUAUAUUAUUUUGUAGGUAAAAUACAAAGACGACAUAGAACAUAGAGAAGAAAAUGCAGAAAUAAUGUAACUCUUAGUAUUUAAUAUGUACUAGAUUUUGAUCCGCGCUUGAAAGAUAUAACUCUUAGUAUUUAAUAUGUAUUCUUUUAAAUUGUUCAAUUAUGUAAAAUUUUCAUUUCUAAACUUCAUAUUAACCCUUAUAUUAA
rnacentral:lncRNA from 1 species